rnacentral:rRNA from 1 species
CCUACGGGUGGCAGCAGUGAGGAAUAUUGGUCAAUGGGCGUAAGCCUGAACCAGCCAAGUCGCGUGAGGGAUGACGGCCCUACGGAUUGUAAACUUCUUUUAUAAAGGAAUAAAGUGAGGCACGUGUCCCGUUUUGUAUGUACUUUAUGAAUAAGGAUCGGCUAACUCCGUGCCAGCAGCCGCGGUAAUACGGAGGAUCCGAGCGUUAUCCGGAUUUAUUGGGUUUAAAGGGUGCGUAGAUGGGUUGUUAAGUCAGCGGUGAAAGUUUGCGGCUCAACCGUAAAAUUGCCAUUGAUACUGGCAGUCUUGAGUACAGUUGAGGUAGGCGGAAUGCGUGGUGUAGCGGUGAAAUGCUUAGAUAUCACGCAGAACCCCGAUUGCGAAGGCAGCUUACUAAGCCGCGACUGACGCUGAUGCACGAAAGCGUGGGUAUCAAACAGGAUUAGAUACCCUGGUAGUC